CACGGACCGCACGAACGUUAUUCGGUAUCACUGGGCUUAAAGGGUGCGUAGGCGGCUUGGCAAGUUGGGUGUGAAAGCCCUCGGCUCAACCGAGGAAUUGCGCUCAAAACUGCCGAGCUCGAGAGAGACAGAGGUAAGCGGAACUGAUGGUGGAGCGGUGAAAUGCGUUGAUAUCAGGAGGAACACCGGUGGCGAAGGCGGGUCUCUGGGCCGAUGACUGACGCUGAGGAGCGAAAGCGUGGGGAGCGAACAGG
rnacentral:rRNA from 1 species